rnacentral:ncRNA from 1 species
GUUGACAGACCUAGUAUCUUUCAAAGAUUCCCAUCCCUCCGCGAUCAAAAAAAAGACAAACAAAUAGGCCAAAUGCCUCGUCAUCUACUUAGUGACGCGCAUGAAUGGAUUAACGAGAUUCCUACUGUCCCUAUCUACUAUCUAGCGAAACCACAGCCAAGGGAACGGGCUUGGGAAUAAUUAGCGGGGAAAAGAAGACCCUUUUGAGCUUGACUCUAAUCUGGCAGUGUAAGGAGACAUAAGAGGUGUAGAAUAAGUGGGAGAUAUUAGACCUCGGUUUGGUAUCGUCAAUGAAAUACCACUACUCUUAUUGUUUCCUUACUUACUUGAUUAAAUGGAACGUGUAUCAUUUCCUAGCCAUUAUACGGAUAUAUUUAUUAUAUCUUAUGGUAUUGGGUUUUGAUGCAAGCUUCUUGAUCAAAGUAUCACGAGUUUGUUAUAUAAUCGCAAACAAAUUCUUUAAUAAAACGAUGCAUUUAUGUAUUUUUGAUUUGAAAAUUUGGUAUAACUCCAAUUACUCAGGUAUGAUCCAAUUCAAGGACAUUGCCAGGUAGGGAGUUUGACUGGGGCGGUACAUCUCUCAAAUAAUAACGGAGGUGUCCCAAGGCCAGCUCAGUGCGGACAGAAACCACACAUAGAGCAAAAGGGCAAAUGCUGACUUGAUCUCGGUGUUCAGUACACACAGGGACAGCAAAAGCUCGGCCUAUCGAUCCUUUUGGUUUAAAGAGUUUUUAACAAGAGGUGUCAGAAAAGUUACCAUAGGGAUAACUGGCUUGUGGCGGCCAAGCGUUCAUAGCGACGUCGCUUUUUGAUCCUUCGAUGUCGGCUCUUCCUAUCAUUGUGAAGCAAAAUUCACCAAGCGUUGGAUUGUUCACCCAUGCAAGGGAACGUGAGCUGGGUUUAGACCGUCGUGAGACAGGUUAGUUUUACCCUACUAAUGACAAAACGUUGUUGCGACAGCAUUCCUGCGUAGUACGAGAGGAACCGCAGGUACGGACCAAUGGCACAAUACUUGUUCGAGCGAACAGUGGUAUGACGCUACGUCCGUUGGAUUAUGCCUGAACGCCUCUAAGGUCGUAUCCGUGCUGGACUGCAAUGAUAAAUAAGGGGCAAUUUGCAUUGUAUGGCUUCUAAACCAUUUAAAGUUUAUAAUUUAUUUUAUAAACGACAAUGGAUGUGAUGCCAAUGUAAUUUGUAACAUAGUAAAUUAGGAGGAUCUUCGAUCACCUGAUGCCGCGCUAGUUACAUAUAAAAGCAUUAUUUAAUACAAUGACAAAGCCUAGAAUCAAUUGUAAACGACUUUUGUAACAGGCAAGGUGUUGUAAGUGGUUGAGCAGCUGCCAUACUGCGAUCCACUGAAGCUUAUCCUUUGCUUGAUGAUUCGA